UUUUUUUUUUUUUUUUUUUUUUUUUCCUCCAUUGCCAGUGGCUUGCGUGCCUUGACGCGGCAUUUGCAGUUUGCUAUCAGAUUUUACGUAGACCAGUCGUUCCUGCUCUUGUCGUGGUAGUAGUUAUUCCUCUUCUCUUUCUUUUUCGUAGUUUUUUCUUUUUCCUUCUUCUUCCUAGUCUUCUUUUCUGAUUUCUAUCUUCCAGCCCUCCAGUUCAGAUCGUUAUCAGGUGUCUUACAAUUGGUUCAGUAAUUUGGUGUAGAGAUUUACUUGUCGCUGAUUCUCCCAGUUCUUUGUUCCAUAGUCCUCUAUCCAAGAUGUUGUGAUGAAUCUGGUUGUGCUGUGGAUUUGUCUUGGAUGACUUCUCGUGUGGUUGACAUGAUAGUGUUGUGGACGAAUUUUGAGGUUGCUAGGGUGAGUGCUGAGGGCUCGGCUGGUGACAUGCAACACGGUCGAUUCGGUAGAGGACUCCGAGCAAUUGGAGUGACCUCCAUCAGGAGUGGUUGUGAAAUGGUGUUUUUUUUCAGUUGAACCUGGAACGCGGUGUAGGCUAUUGGUGUUCGGCAUAGUUGGAGGCCUGAUUUGGAUUAAGACGUGUUGUGGAAAUUGUUACAUGGGCGAAUCAUCUAGGUGGUGAACCAGUUGAGAUUGAAUGGGAUGCAGUGGUCAAAGCAGAGCAGCCGUGUAGCGAAUUGCGUGAAAUUUUGGCUUUAUUGAAAGGAUUGAGAGGUGUUUUUAUGGUGUUGCGAAUCGCUUGUGCAGUUUCUUGGCUGUGUUUGAUUAGGUCGGCUUAGAAAUUAUACAUUUGAGUAUAUUAGUGCCUCCAUUGUCGACUUCUUUUUCUCCGCACUACGGUAUGCUCAUGCUUCUGCCGUGAUCUUGAUUUUGGAAAGAAGGAUUGAAGAUUUGAGUUUUCGCGGCUCCUUCGUGUACUCGACUAUUUCCGUGUACUGGGUGCCAGCUUCCCCAACGCAACUACACGUAUGUUUCAUAGGAUCUUGUGGAAGAUUUCCGUAACCUCAUGUGAUUGGGGCAAAGUAAUUCUUACUGGUCAAAUACCUGUGUCGAUUCUAAAGGAGAGAGGUUGCACGUGAUGUGGACGCCACGGAGUUGAGGGCUUGAAUUUCGACCAGUAAGCCCAAUGGCAGCGUGCGUGUUGGAACCAAAUAGACCAAGGAUUGGCAGCACGAUUCUUGGUCAUCUUGUCGUUGGAUUCGUGGUCGGGGUGGGACUCGUUGCAGGUUUUAAAUACUUUUCGGACAAACGAAGUAAAUGGAGAUUACAGAAGAUUGCUGGAAUACAUCUCUUAAGCCUAGCAGAUGAAUUUGACUUCAAGAGGCUCUGUAAGGAAAGUUAUCCGAGCCAUAUUUCAUUCCUAACUUUUGAGAAGGUUAGAUGGGUAAAUGAAAUUCUGGAGAAAAUCUGGCCAUUUGUAGUAGAGGCCACGGAGAAACCGGGGAAGGAGUGGCUUGGACCAGUCGUAGAAUUCUACAGGCCUACUAGGAUUUCAUCUCUCACAGUCGAAAAGUUCCAUCUUGGAAAAGCGGCUCCCCAUAUUGAUGGAAUUAGGGUGCAAAGCUUGCGUAAAAGUCAGGUGCACUUGGACAUGGAUUUCAAGUGGGGUAGUGAAGGCGAUGUUGUGCUUAAUGCGGCCAUCAUGGGCUCCAAUGUUUCUAUUCAGUUAAAAGAUCUGUCGUUCUAUGCAACAAUUCGGCUGAUCUUCCAGCUUUCAGACCAGAUUCCCUGCAUCUCAGCCUAUGUUGUUGCUGUUCUGCCUGAUCCAAAAUACCGAAUCGAUUACAACCUAAAAGUUGGUGGAGGCAACACUGCAGCCAUUCCUGGAUUAGGUGACAUGAUUGAGGAUUUGGUGCAUAGCUGUAUUACAGAUAUGUUGGAGUGGCCCCGCAGGCUUAUAUUUCCUAUUGGUGACACCCCUAUGAACGUUACAAGUGAUCUGGAAUUAAAGCCUCAAGGCAAGUUAACGGUCACUGUGGUGAGGGCUAACGAUCUGAAAAAUAUGGAAACAAUUGGCAUAUCAGAUCCGUAUGUUGUGCUUUAUGUACGGGUUCUCUUUAAGAAAAAAACUAGAGUCAUCCAUCACAACCUAAAUCCAGAAUGGAAUGAUCCUGAUUCAGUCUUUCAUUUUGAUGUGGAGGAUACUGAAACACAGACUCUGGUGUUGCAGAGUAGCAGGUUUUAUGAUUUUCUCGUAUUGGCUAUCUUUACAGGUCAAAGACGAGGAACAUUUUGGAACAGAUAAAGAACUUGGUGUAACUGUAGUGCCACUGUGUGUUUUGAAACCUGAUACCGAAAUCGAGAUAAGAAAAAAAUUAGCUCCAUCUUUGGACACUGUUAGAGUAAAAGACGAAGGUGACCGUGGCUCAAUUACUGUCAAACUCUUAUACCAUCUGUACACGGAAACAGAGCAGCUCAGGGCUAUGGUUGAAGAAAAAGAAGAGAUCCAGGCAAAAGAAGAUCUGAAGAAUGCAGGUGUAAUUGGAGGGAAUAUGGAUGCUUUGACUAAAAGUCUCAAGCCUUCGAGGAAUGGCACCGAAACCGUAGAGUCGGGUGUGAUGAAGGUUGGGAGGAUGAUGAGUAAGGGAAUCAAAAGCUUUAUACAUGACAGUUUGUCGCCACGCUGAAUGGCUGUUCCGACUCUAGAUAGAUUAGGUGUUCCGCUCUCCAUACAUUGUAAACUGUGGUUUAUUAGCUGAAUCUGUUUUGCACUCGAUCUUUAAUUUGCAUUCAGAUAGUAUAUGCUAUUGUUGAAAACAUGUUUUCUUAAUAAAAUUCCAAUUUUGAGCAUCA